UACGGAGGGUGCAAGCGUUGCUCGGAAUUAUUGGGCGUAAAGCGCACGCAGGCGGCGUGGUAAGUCAGUUGUGAAACUCCCGGGCUUAACUUGGGAACUGCAGCUGAUACUGCCAUGCUUGAGUACGGAAGAGGGGAGUGGAAUUCCCAGUGUAGAGGUGAAAUUCGUAGGAUAUUGGGAGGAACACCGGUGGCGAAGGCGGCUCCCUGGUCCGAUACUGACGCUCAUGUGCGAAAGCGUGGGGAGCAACAGG
rnacentral:rRNA from 1 species